rnacentral:SRP_RNA from 1 species
GCUUGGAUAGUUGGGCAUUGAAGAUCGCGAACCCGGUCAGGUUUGGAAAAAAGCAGCCGUAGUGAAACUAAGAUGGGUCAGCUAUCCUGUUUAU